rnacentral:rRNA from 1 species
AGUGAAUAGAUACCCGGGUAGUCCAUGCUGUAAACGAUGUCAACUAGCCGUUGGGGCCCUUGAGGCUUUAGUGGCGCAGCUAACGCGAUAAGUUGACCGCCUGGGGAGUACGGCCGCAAGGUUAAAACUCAAAUGAAUUGACGGGGGGCCCGCACAAGCGGUGGAGUAUGUGGUUUAAAUUCGAUGCAACGCGAAGAACCUUACCUGGCCUUGACAUAUCCGGAACCCUGCAGAGAUGCGGGGGUGCCUUCGGGAAUCGGAAUACAGGUGCUGCAUGGCUGUCGUCAGCUCGUGUCGUGAGAUGUUGGGUUAAGUCCCGCAACGAGCGCAACCCUUAUCCUUAGUUGCCAGCGCGUAAAGGCGGGAACUCUAGGGAGACUGCCGGUGACAAACCGGAGGAAGGCGGGGACGACGUCAAGUCAUCAUGGCCCUUACGGCCAGGGCUACACACGUACUACAAUGGUCGGUACAAAGGGUUGCUAAGCCGCGAGGCCACGCCAAUCUCAAAAAGCCGAUCGUAGUCCAGAUUGGAGUCUGCAACUCGACUCC